UUCAGUCCCCACCUACUAUUGAACAGAAACUAAACAGCACUUUCUUGCUUAAACAACAGCACAAAUGAAAGUCUUACCUAACAGAAAACCCUGGAUCAGUGACAUCUGAAACAGCAUCACACGGCAGAGAGUCCAUAAUAUCGGAGACAAUGGAUCCUGAGAGAUCUGGAUUGGUGUUUCCAUGGUCAGUGGAAAUUGGUAGGGUGCGCAUCAACGCUUGCGAUACCUAGAGAUAACAAGAAGAGCCAGCUUGGAAGACAUCAUGUUCAAUAUAAAGAACAAAACAAUAUGUUCUUCCAUCACUUGCAUGAGGACCGCCUGCAUAUCCAAUCUGGUGUCAGCGUAGAGAAAUGUCCCAACAUCAUGUCAUCUGUGUACCUCGCUGCAAGAUGUGUAUACGCUCCUCAAUCUCUCCACUUCCAUCCAUGCACUGCUGGUAAGACACUGUCCGUUAAAAGGUGCCAGUUUGUCAGGACUCAGGAAGUUGGAACCUCUGAGUGAAAAAAGGAAAAUAGUGAAAGUGACCCAAUAUGGUUCAGCACAAGCAUGUUGUAUAAAGUACUAAGAGAAGCUUUAUGUUAAAUAUUUUCCAAGUCUUUUCAUGACAAUUAUAAUAUAUGUUAUUGUAGUUUUUUGUAUUUUUUUUUUUUUUUGCAGUGGUGUAAGUGGUAUGUUGGUUAAUUAAAAAUAUGUAUUUUAAAAUUAUUCAUCACCUUAAGGGUGAAAUAUUUAUCAGGUCAUACCACUGGAAACCACAACAAUAGACAUACCACUGUAUUCUUCAAUACUUAGCAUUUUUUUUUUUUUUUUUUUACAGAUCGAAUAUUUGUUGUAACUGCUGUUUUAAAUCUUUUAAAUUAAUAUUCUACAUGAUAUGUGUAUCAUUAAUGUAACAAUAUGUUUACAGAUUUUGUUGAUCUUUGCCCACCACAUUAUUUAAGUAAACAGGGUAACCUUAAAGCCUGCACAGUGCACACUGUA